UACGUAGGGUGCAAGCGUUAAUCGGAAUUACUGGGCGUAAAGCGUGCGCAGGCGGCUUUGCAAGACAGAUGUGAAAUCCCCGGGCUCAACCUGGGAACUGCAUUUGUGACUGCAUGGCUGGAGUGCGGCAGAGGGGGAUGGAAUUCCGCGUGUAGCAGUGAAAUGCGUAGAUAUCGUUUGGAACGCCAAUGGUGAAAACAGGUCGCUGGGGAUGAGCUGACGCUGAGACACGAAAGCCAGGGGAGCAAACGGG
rnacentral:rRNA from 1 species